rnacentral:rRNA from 1 species
AUUGAACGCUGGCGGCAGGCCUAACACAUGCAAGUCGAGCGGAUGAGAGGAGCUUGCUUCUCGAUUCAGCGGCGGACGGGUGAGUAAUGCCUAGGAAUCUGCCUGGUAGUGGGGGACAACGUUUCGAAAGGAACGCUAAUACCGCAUACGUCCUACGGGAGAAAGAAGGGGACCUUCGGGCCUUGCGCUAUCAGAUGAGCCUAGGUCGGAUUAGCUAGUUGGUGAGGUAAUGGCUCACCAAGGCGACGAUCCGUAACUGGUCUGAGAGGAUGAUCAGUCACACUGGAACUGAGACACGGUCCAGACUCCUACGGGAGGCAGCAGUGGGGAAUAUUGGACGAUGGGCGAAAGCCUGAUCCAGCCAUGCCGCGUGUGUGAAGAAGGUCUUCGGAUUGUAAAGCACUUUAAGUUGGGAGGAAGGGUUGUAGAUUAAUACUCUGCAAUUUUGACGUUACCGACAGAAUAAGCACCGGCUAACUCUGUGCCAGCCGCCGCAGUAACAC